UGCAGUCGAACGAUGAAGCCCUUCGGGGUGGAUUAGUGGCGAACGGGUGAGUAACACGUGGGCAAUCUGCCCUUCACUCUGGGACAAGCCCUGGAAACGGGGUCUAAUACCGGAUAACACUCUGUCCCGCAUGGGACGGGGUUAAAAGCUCCGGCGGUGAAGGAUGAGCCCGCGGCCUAUCAGCUUGUUGGUGGGGUAAUGGCCUACCAAGGCGACGACGGGUAGCCGGCCUGAGAGGGCGACCGGCCACACUGGGACUGAGACACGGCCCAGACUCCUACGGGAGGCAGCAGUGGGGAAUAUUGCACAAUGGGCGAAAGCCUGAUGCAGCGACGCCGCGUGAGGGAUGACGGCCUUCGGGUUGUAAACCUCUUUCAGCAGGGAAGAAGCGAAAGUGACGGUACCUGCAGAAGAAGCGCCGGCUAACUACGUGCCAGCAGCCGCGGUAAUACGUAGGGCGCAAGCGUUGUCCGGAAUUAUUGGGCGUAAAGAGCUCGUAGGCGGCUUGUCACGUCGGAUGUGAAAGCCCGGGGCUUAACCCCGGGUCUGCAUUCGAUACGGGCUAGCUAGAGUGUGGUAGGGGAGAUCGGAAUUCCUGGUGU
rnacentral:rRNA from 1 species